UGGGGAAUAUUGGACAAUGGGCGAAAGCCUGAUCCAGCCAUGCCGCGUGUGUGAAGAAGGUCUUCGGAUUGUAAAGCACUUUAAGUUGGGAGGAAGGGCAGUAAGCGAAUACCUUGCUGUUUUGACGUUACCGACAGAAUAAGCACCGGCUAACUCUGUGCCAGCAGCCGCGGUAAUACAGAGGGUGCAAUCGUUAAUCGGAAUUACUGGGCGUAAAGCGCGCGUAGGUGGUUCGUUAAGUUGAAUGUGAAAGCCCCGGGCUCAACCUGGGAGCUGCAUCCAAAACUGGCGAGCUAGAGUAGGGCAGAGGGUGGUGGAAUUUCCUGGGUAGCGGUGAAAUGCGUAGAUAUAGGAAGGAACACCAGUGGCGAAGGCGACCACCUGGGCUCAUACUGACACGGAGGUGCGAAAGCGUGGGGAGCAAACAGG
rnacentral:rRNA from 1 species